rnacentral:rRNA from 1 species
ACGAAGCGCUUAAACGGAUUUCUUCGGAUUGAAGUUUUUGCGACUGAGUGGCGGACGGGUGAGUAACGCGUGGGUAACCUGCCUCGUACAGGGGGAUAACAGUUAGAAAUGACUGCUAAUACCGCAUAAGCGCACAGUGCUGCAUGGCACAGUGUGAAAAACUCCGGUGGUAUGAGAUGGACCCGCGUCUGAUUAGCUAGUUGGUGGGGUAACGGCCUACCAAGGCGACGAUCAGUAGCCGGCCUGAGAGGGUGAACGGUCACAUUGGGACUGAGACACGGCCCAAACUCCUACGGGAGGCAGCAGUGGGGAAUAUUGCACAAUGGGGGAAACCCUGAUGCAGCGACGCCGCGUGAGCGAAGAAGUAUUUCGGUAUGUAAAGCUCUAUCAGCAGGGAAGAAAAUGACGGUACCUGACUAAGAAGCACCGGCUAAAUACGUGCCAGCAGCCGCGG